CCUUCGGAGCGUUAUAUCAAACGUGAGUAGCAGAACACCGUGAAAGCGGACGCGAUGAACAAGGAA
rnacentral:ncRNA from 1 species